rnacentral:rRNA from 1 species
UACAGAGGGUGCGAGCGUUACUCGGAAUUACUGGGCGUAAAGCGUGCGUAGACGGCUAUCUAAGUCGGGUGUGAAAGCCCCGGGCUCAACCUGGGAAUUGCAUUCGAGACUGAAUAGCUAGGGUACGGUAGAGGGAAGUGGAAUUUCCGGUGUAGAGGUGAAAUUCGUAGAUAUCGGGAGGAACACCAGUGGCGAAGGCGGCGACCUGGGCCAAUAUUGACGCUGAGGUGCGAAAGCGUGGGGAGCAAACAGG